UACGGAGGGUGCAAGCGUUAUCCGGAUUCACUGGGUUUAAAGGGUGCGUAGGCGGGUUGGUAAGUCCGUGGUGAAAUCCCCAGGCUUAACUUGGGAACUGCCGUGGAUACUAUCAAUCUUGAAUAUCGUGGAGGUAAGCGGAAUAUGUCAUGUAGCGGUGAAAUGCUUAGAUAUGACAUAGAACACCAAUUGCGAAGGCAGCUUACUACGGGGUCAUUGACACUGAGGCACGAAAGCGUGGGGAUCAAACAGG
rnacentral:rRNA from 1 species